rnacentral:pre_miRNA from 1 species
CAUCUACUCCCUCCGUCCCAAAAUAAGUGACUCAACUUUGUACUAGCUUUAGUACAAAGUUAGUAUAAAGUUGAGUCACUUAUUUUGGGACGGAGGGAGUAUAUU